CGCUGGCGGCGUGCCUAAUACAUGCAAGUCGAACGGUCUUUCUAUGGAAGCUUGCUCCACUGAGAAGAUAGUGGCGAACGGGUGAGUAACACGUGGGUAACCUGCCCAUAAGAGGGGGGAUAACAUCCGGAAACGGGUGCUAAUACCGCAUAGUUUUCUUGAUCGCAUGAUCGGGAAAGGAAAGACGGCCUUUGUGCUGUCGCUUAUGGAUGGACCCGCGGCGUAUUAGUUAGUUGGUGAGGUAACGGCUCACCAAGACGAUGAUACGUAGCCGACCUGAGAGGGUGAUCGGCCACAUUGGGACUGAGACACGGCCCAAACUCCUACGGGAGGCAGCAGUAGGGAAUCUUCCGCAAUGGACGAAAGUCUGACGGAGCAACGCCGCGUGAGUGAAGGGUAAGGUUUUCGGAUCGUAAAACUCUGUUGUCAGAGAAGAACAAGUUGGAGAGUAACUGCUCCAGCCUUGACGGUAUCUGACCAGAAAGCCACGGCUAACUACGUGCCAGCCGCUGC
rnacentral:rRNA from 1 species